CUAAUAUCCCGAGAGAGAGAAAGAGAGAUCCCCCAACGCUUCGCGAAUCGCAAAUCCCUCUCGCUUCUCUCUCUCUCUCUCUCCUCGCGCCGCCGCCGCCACCGCCGGCGCCGCGGCCAUGGGCGACUACGGCAGCGGGAUGAUGCGGGGGAACCCGGACGGCGGCGGGAUGCAGUCCCGCACCAAGGGCCAGCGCGUCAACGUGCAGCAGCUCAAGCUGAUGGGGCAGGGACACCCGACGGGCCUCACCCCCAACCUGCUCAAGCUCUUCGAGCCCCGCCCGCCGCUCGACUUCAAGCCGCCCGUCGAGAAGCGCAAGUUGCCGGCCUACACUGGGAUGGCGCAGUUCGUGUCGCAGUUUGCGGAGCCCGGUGACCCUGAGUACGCGCCACCCGUCCCCACAUGCGAGACCAAGGCUGAAAAGAAGGAUAGGAUCCGCAAAAGUAAGCUUGACCAAGGUGCGGCUAAGGUGGCUGAAGAGCUUCAGAAAUAUGACCCACAGAGUGACCCCAAUGCCACUGGAGAUCCAUACAAAACACUCUUUGUUGCAAGACUUAACUAUGAGACGUCUGAGCAUAGGGUCAAGCGGGAGUUUGAAGCUUAUGGGCCUAUUAAAAGGGUAAGUACAUGUGGUAAAUUCCAGUGCAGGUGGACUUAUUCCUCUUUGGUAAGGUGUUUGGUUGUUCUAAUUCAUCUACAAAAACAUGUUUUAAGAAAAAGCUGGUUCACUGCCAUUAUAUAUUGCUUACUUGGAAUUUCACAACAAGGUGCUAAAGGAUGAAAGGGAUAUCUUCUAUCUCUCUCCGAUUUUCAAUGGGCAGAAUUGUCUGUAGUAUUUGUUUCUAAAUCAAACAAAAUGCUGUGAAGUCUUCUUUUUUGUAAAGAACAAAAAUAAGUUAUUCUGUCAAGUCUUUUUUUUUGCAGCAAACAAAAAUAACUUCUUGUUUUUGUCAAACAGUAUUCAUAGCACUCUCAUUUUCAAGUUGGGCAAUACAUUCACUGUUUUGUGUGUAAGCAUGCAUUUGCUGUUUGCUUCUCAAUAAUGAUGUUGGUUGCAUUUUGCUAAACCAAGGAGAAAAUAACCAAAUAAUCUUCUCAAAUUAUUUAAAUAACACUUUUAUCUUGUAUUGACAUGUAUUGGUUUGGGUGGUUCGGACAGUCUUUUCUUUGUUAUCCAUUUCUAAACAUGUGGGCUCUGUUGAUGUACUUAGUGGAUAAGUAAUAUAGAGCUCCAGCAGAAAUUAUGUCUUCUGGUAAUUUUUGUUAGACAUAUUAUCUGAGUUACUGUUGAGCAAUUUAAUGUGCGAAUGGUUGGUACAACCAUUAGAAGACUAAAAAAUCCUGGGAAAUACAAAUACACACAAGCAGGUAUUUUUACUGCAUGCAGCCUUGAUGUUUUUUUUUCUUAGAACAUCUUUUCCCUUUUACUCUCGGAAAAGAUCAAACCAUUUGCUUCUGCAGUAGGCACAAUGUAUCAUUUGUUUUCCCAUUCUAUGAACUUGCUUCUCGUGUGUAUUAACUGGAGCAAACAAGCUUGAAGAAUGUUGGCGAUGGCACAAGUAAGCUUAGAUCACUUUAUGCUUUUAAAAGCAGCUUAUCUGCAGGCAUGGGGUUUCUACAUUCUGGGAUUUAUUAGGUUGCUGGUGAGUACAGUGUUUAUGUUACUUUCCCUGAGCUGUUAAAGCUAGUUCUGCUUUCAAGUGCUGCUUCUCUUGGAGGAAACAACAGCAAAAUAUAAUGCAAAUGACAUCUCAACUUUUAGAGUUGAAGAUGGCUCCAUUUUCUGAUGCGUAACAGCGUAAGGAAUAGACAUCACUGACUUGCUAUUUGUCACCUCCAUUUAUGUAACCGUUGUCUAUUUUGAUGGUCUUACCGACGAAGGCUGAACGAACUAUAUGCAAUGGAGAGGGUAAAUGGGUAUUGUAUUUAGUCCACCACCAUCUUCUUUUCUUAAUCUAGUAAAUUCCCUGGUAAGGGGGUAUCACUGUAUUUCCCACAAACGCCAAUCAGCCAGACUGCUUUUUGCCUCCAACUGUGUUGAUCUGUGCUGGAUUUCACUCCUCGUAAUGAAGGAUCUACAUAUGCAAGGUACGGCUUGUGACCGACAAGGAAACAAAUAAACCUAGAGGAUAUGCAUUCAUCGAGUAUAUGCACACCCGGGACAUGAAAAAUGCUUACAAGCAAGCAGAUGGGAGAAAAGUGGACAAUAGGAGGGUGCUAGUUGAUGUGGAGCGUGGUAGAACUGUUCCAAAUUGGCGUCCCAGGAGAUUGGGUGGUGGACUUGGAUCAAGCAGAAUUGGUGGUGAAAAUGCUGAACAGAAGCUCUCCACUAGGGAUCAGCAGCACGCUGGACGCCCAAGAUCGGAGGAGCCUAGGAGAGAUGAGCGUCGUGCAGAUAGGGACCGCGAGAAGUCUCGUGAAAGGCCACGGGAAAGAGAUCGUGAUGAGAGAACUCGUGAACGAUCCCAUGACCGUACUCGCGAGCGUGAUUCAAAAGAAGAUAGACACCACCAUAGGGAUCGGGACAGGACUCGGGACAGGGAACGAGGAAGGGACCGGGAGAGAGAUCAUGGUCGUGACCGUGACCGUGAGCGUGAUCGUCGUGAUAGAGAUAGGGACAGGGAUCGUGGUCGGGAUUAUGAGAGAGACCGUGACCGUGGUCAUGAUCGCCAUCGUGAGAGAGGCAGGGACCGUGAGAGAGAUUACGAGCGUGCAAGUCAUGAACGGGACCGUGGUCACAUGCAUGAGAGAGAUGCUGAAUUUGCCAACGGUGAGCCAAAACAUGAUCAGGAAUAUGGCUAUAACUAUGAGCAACACAAAAGCCAUGAUGCUUAUGAGACGGAGCGCUCAAAGCGACAUGAGCAUGAGUACUAUCAGAUGCAACCUAACAACACAGAACCUGAAGGCCCUGAAGAGGGCGAGGCAUAUGAUGAAGGUGACUACCAGUAUCACCAAGCUGCUGAUGAGCACAAUAACUGAAAUUUGAUUGCUGCACUGCUUGAACGGUUGUUCUAGGUGCUCGUCAUUGUUGCCAAAAGAGGCAGAAGCAUGUUUACUUGUUGCCUGGCGCUUGAGCUCUGCCGCUUUGCAAGGCUGGAUAUGUAAUACCGGUGUUACUGUCUGUUGUUCCUUUUGUGGUUUGGGAGUUAAGAUGUUUUUGCACUUCCCUGCUUUUGUAUUGUAUGAGACGCUAGAACUUGUUUUGGAUUCAUCUUUUGCUUCAGUACUCUGUUCAGAAAGGUUUUGUAAUUCGAGCACAUGAACUACAGUUAUUUCGUAUGGAAUUCCAAUAUUGAAGUAUCUUUUGUUAA